GUAGGUGAACCUGCCGUUGGAUCAGU
rnacentral:rRNA from 9 species